AAGUCGUAACAAGGUCUCCGUAGGUGAACCUGCGGAGGGAUCAUUAACACAAAGAAAGAAAAAAAGCAACUCGAGCGAUCGGGGCGUUUUUUCUCUUUUUUUUCUAUCACACCCAUCUACCGUGAACUAGUAUGCCCCAUACUUUUGCAGCAAUGCAAUGUUGGCUUUGUUAGCUGUCACAGGCAAUCAUUGCUAAUGUUGUUUUGCUAAUAAGUUAUUUUUGUAACAACUGCAAACCAUUUCCAAACUAAUAUCAACAAUGUAGAAUGUGAAAACAGUGAACUGCAGGCCUCGUGCUUGUGUUGUUGUGCUGUUUUCUAGCAUUGACUAAUAUAAAAAAGAGUACAACUCUUAGCAACGGAUAUCUUGGUUCUC
rnacentral:misc_RNA from 1 species